rnacentral:rRNA from 1 species
GUGCCAGCCGCCGCGGUAAUACGUAGGUGGCGAGCGUUGUUCGGAUUUAUUGGGCGUAAAGGGUCUGUAGGAGGUUUGUUAAAUACGGGGUGAAAUCCCGAAGCUCAACUUCGGAAUUGCCUUGUAGACUGACGAACUGGAGUACCGGAGAGGUAAGCGGAAUACCAGGUGUAGCGGUGGAAUGCGUAGAUAUCUGGUAGAACACCAAAAGCGAAGGCAGCUUGCUGGACGGAAACUGACUCUGAAAGACGAAAGCAUGGGGAGCAAACAGG